rnacentral:rRNA from 1 species
GCGGCAGGCCUAACACAUGCAAGUCGAACGGUAACAGAAAGCAGCUUGCUGCUUUGCUGACGAGUGGCGGACGGGUGAGUAAUGUCUGGGAAACUGCCUGAUGGAGGGGGAUAACUACUGGAAACGGUAGCUAAUACCGCAUAACGUCGCAAGACCAAAGAGGGGGACCUUCGGGCCUCUUGCCAUCGGAUGUGCCCAGAUGGGAUUAGCUUGUUGGUGGGGUAACGGCUCACCAAGGCGACGAUCCCUAGCUGGUCUGAGAGGAUGACCAGCCACACUGGAACUGAGACACGGUCCAGACUCCUACGGGAGGCAGCAGUGGGGAAUAUUGCACAAUGGGCGCAAGCCUGAUGCAGCCAUGCCGCGUGUAUGAAGAAGGCCUUCGGGUUGUAAAGUACUUUCAGCGGGGAGGAAGGGAGUAAAGUUAAUACCUUUGCUCAUUGACGUUACCCGCAGAAGAAGCACCGGCUAACUCCGUGCCAGCAGCCGCGGUAAUACGGAGGGUGCAAGCGUUAAUCGGAAUUACUGGGCGUAAAGCGCACGCAGGCGGUUUGUUAAGUCAGAUGUGAAAUCCCCGGGCUCAACCUGGGAACUGCAUCUGAUACUGGCAAGCUUGAGUCUCGUAGAGGGGGGUAGAAUUCCAGGUGUAGCGGUGAAAUGCGUAGAGAUCUGGAGGAAUACCGGUGGCGAAGGCGGCCCCCUGGACGAAGACUGACGCUCAGGUGCGAAAGCGUGGGGAGCAAACAGGAUUAGAUACCCUGGUAGUCCACGCCGUAAACGAUGUCGACUUGGAGGUUGUGCCCUUGAGGCGUGGCUUCCGGAGCUAACGCGUUAAGUCGACCGCCUGGGGAGUACGGCCGCAAGGUUAAAACUCAAAUGAAUUGACGGGGGCCCGCACAAGCGGUGGAGCAUGUGGUUUAAUUCGAUGCAACGCGAAGAACCUUACCUGGUCUUGACAUCCACGGAAGUUUUCAGAGAUGAGAAUGUGCCUUCGGGAACCGUGAGACAGGUGCUGCAUGGCUGUCGUCAGCUCGUGUUGUGAAAUGUUGGGUUAAGUCCCGCAACGAGCGCAACCCUUAUCCUUUGUUGCCAGCGGUCCGGCCGGGAACUCAAAGGAGACUGCCAGUGAUAAACUGGAGGAAGGUGGGGAUGACGUCAAGUCAUCAUGGCCCUUACGACCAGGGCUACACACGUGCUACAAUGGCGCAUACAAAGAGAAGCGACCUCGCGAGAGCAAGCGGACCUCAUAAAGUGCGUCGUAGUCCGGAUUGGAGUCUGCAACUCGACUCCAUGAAGUCGGAAUCGCUAGUAAUCGUGGAUCAGAAUGCCACGGUGAAUACGUUCCCGGGCCUUGUACACACCGCCCGUCACACCAUGGGAGUGGGUUGCAAAAGAAGUAGGUAGCUUAACCUUCGGGAGGGCUCUUACCACUUUGUGAUUCAUGACUGGGGUGAAGU